GACGAACGCUGUUGGCGUGCCUAACACAUGCAAGUCGAGCGAAGUGAGUACUCCGGUACGAACUUAGCGGCGGACGGGUGAGUAACGCGUGGACAAUCUACCCUGUAGACUGGGAUAACACCUCGAAAGGGGUGCUAAUACCGGAUAAUGUCGAGAAGCGGCAUCGCUUUUCGAAGAAAGGAGAGAAUCCGCUAUAGGAGGAGUCCGCGUCCCAUUAGCUAGUUGGUGAGGGUAACGGCCCACCAAGGCGACGAUGGGUAGCCGGCCUGAGAGGGUGAACGGCCACACUGGAACUGAGACACGGUCCAGACUCCUACGGGAGGCAGCAGUGGGGAAUAUUGUGCAAUGGGGGAAACCCUGACACAGCAACGCCGCGUGAGCGAAGAGGGCCUUCGGGUUGUAAAGCUCAAUAGUAUGGGAAGAUAAUGACGGUACCAUACGAAAGCCCCGGCUAACUACGUGCCAGCCGCCGCCGUAAGAC
rnacentral:rRNA from 1 species